rnacentral:rRNA from 1 species
GACGAACGCUGGCGGCGUGCCUAACACAUGCAAGUCGAACGGAAAGGCCCUGCUUUUGUGGGGUGCUCGAGUGGCGAACGGGUGAGUAACACGUGAGUAACCUGCCCUUGACUUUGGGAUAACUUCGGGAAACUGGGGCUAAUACCGGAUAGGAGCUCCUGCUGCAUGGUGGGGGUUGGAAAGUUUCGGCGGUUGGGGAUGGACUCGCGGCUUAUCAGCUUGUUGGUGGGGUAGUGGCUUACCAAGGCUUUGACGGGUAGCCGGCCUGAGAGGGUGACCGGCCACAUUGGGACUGAGAUACGGCCCAGACUCCUACGGGAGGCAGCAGUGGGGAAUAUUGCACAAUGGGCGGAAGCCUGAUGCAGCAACGCCGCGUGCGGGAUGACGGCCUUCGGGUUGUAAACCGCUUUCGCCUGUGACGAAGCGUGAGUGACGGUAAUGGGUAAAGAAGCACCGGCUAACUACGUG